ACACGUAGGUAAGGAGGUCUACUUCGUAAUAGCGACCAAUAGAUAUUCGUAUCAACGGCCUUUCCUCUCACUUACAGAUCGUCAACGGAGAGUCCCGCGUCCUGCAUCAAUCGUCAACCUGAAUCGGAACGGCGCGAACCAGAAAAGGGUGUACAGUAUCAAAACAACGUCACUGGAAGGCGCCACCGGAACUGCGCGAAGAAUGCCCCCCGUGUGCCCGAGAAAAAACAAAGGACGAACGUGUAUACGAUUCCCUACCGGCGAUAAACGUCCCGAAGCUGGCCAAGAGGUUUCGCGUGACGGAAACACGGGAGAACGUUGCAUACAUGCGUGUCUCGUGGGUCGACGCAUCGCGUCGCAUAAAUUGAGUUUAAUUUCUUCAUCCAAACAACAACAACGCCUCGUUGACGAUACUGUGGAGGUUGUGCCUGAAGAGCGAGAGAAGAGAAAAGGAAGGGAGCAUUUCGUUGUGGGCCUGCUAGUGGUCUCGUCAGUAAGGCUACCUAGGAGUCCCGUGCCUUAGACGCCGGGAUGUUUAGAAGUUAUGGACGUCCCUCUAGUGGCAAUUCAAGCAAUGAAAAUUCUUCGUUCCUCCUCAAGAUGACCCUUCCUCCUUCGAACGCAUUCGGCGAUUCUUCCACAGACCUGGCGAUUUUGAAACGAAAUUUCUAGAGGAGCCCAAAUAAAAUAUCUCCGAAAGAAGUCAUGAACGAGAUCAGGGCAUUGACUGCUCGCUCCUUGGCUACUAAAUCGAGGCCUCUC